rnacentral:rRNA from 1 species
GACGAACGCUGGCGGCGUGCUUAACACAUGCAAGUCGAACGGAAAGGCCCUGCCUUUGUGGGGUGCUCGAGUGGCGAACGGGUGAGUAACACGUGAGUAACCUGCCCUUGACUUUGGGAUAACUUCAGGAAACUGGGGCUAAUACCGGAUAGGAGCUCCUGCUGCAUGGUGGGGGUUGGAAAGUUUCGGCGGUUGGGGAUGAACUCGCGGCUUAUCAGCUUGUUGGUGGGGUAGUGGCUUACCAAGGCUUUGACGGGUAGCCGGCCUGAGAGGGUGACCGGCCACACUGGGACUGAGAUACGGCCCAGACUCCUACGGGAGGCAGCAGUGGGGAAUAUUGCACAAUGGGCGGAAGCCUGAUGCAGCAACGCCGCGUGCGGGAUGACGGCCUUCGGGUUGUAAACCGCUUUCGCCUGUGACGAAGCGUGAGUGACGGUAAUUGGUAAAGAAGCACCGGCUAACUACGUG